GUGUCAGCCGCCGCGGUAAUACGGAGGGUGCAAGCGUUAUCCGGAUUUACUGGGUUUAAAGGGUGCGUAGGCGGGCCCUUAAGUCAGUGGUGAAAGCUCCGAGCUUAACUCGGAAACUGCCAUUGAUACUAUAGGUCUUGAAUUCGGUCGAGGUUGGCGGAAUGUGUCGUGUAGCGGUGAAAUGCUUAGAUAUGACACAGAACACCGAUUGCGAAGGCAGCUAGCUAGACCGACAUUGACGCUGAGGCACGAAAGCGUGGGGAUCAAACAGGAUUAGAAACCCCAGUAGUCC
rnacentral:rRNA from 1 species